CUUGGUCAUUUAGAGGAAGUAAAAGUCGAAACAAGGUUUCCGUAGGUGAACCUGCGGAAGAUCAUUACCGAGUUAGGGUCUUUUAGGCCCGACCUCCAACCCUAUGUUUAAACUACCACGUUGCUUCGGCGGAACCGCCUCGCGGCCGCCGGGGAAGUACUCCUCUGGCCCGUGUCCGCCGAUAGCCUUACCACAAAUUCUUCGGAACAGUGUCGUCUAAGUACUACUACAAUUAAUCAAAACUUUCAACAACGGAUCUCUUGGUUCUGGCAUCGAUGAAGAACGCAGCGAAUGCGAUAAGUAAUGCGAAUGCAGAAUUCAGUGAGUCAUCGAAUCUUUGAACGCCCAUGCGCCCUUUGGUAUUCCGAAGGGCAUGCCUGUUCGAGCGUCAUUAUCACCAAUCAAGCCCGGCUUGUAGUUGGACCCAGGUGGGUCGAAGACGACCGGUCCGAAAGACAAUGGGCGGUACUGUCUGUGGGGACCCCUCGGCGCAAUGAGCUUUUCAGCACGCACGGGAGCGGGUCUACGGGCCUAGUCUCAACCACAAAUCUUUACAAGGUUGACCUCGAAUCAGUAGGAAUACCCGCUGAACUUAAGCAUAUCAAUAAGCGGAGGA
rnacentral:rRNA from 1 species